rnacentral:rRNA from 1 species
AUAGAUUAAGUUAUUAAGGGCGCACGGUGGAUGCCUUGGCACUAGAAGCCGAUGAAGGACGUUACUAACGACGAUAUGCUUUGGGGAGCUGUAAGUAAGCUUUGAUCCAGAGAUUUCCGAAUGGGGAAACCCAACAUGAGUUAUGUCAUGUUAUCGAUAUGUGAAUACAUAGCAUAUCAGAAGGCACACCCGGAGAACUGAAACAUCUUAGUACCCGGAGGAAGAGAAAGAAAAUUCGAUUCCCUUAGUAGCGGCGAGCGAAACGGGAAG